rnacentral:lncRNA from 1 species
AUGGAGAAAGAAGAUGCCUCUCAAGAAGAGCAAGAUUUCAACAGAGAAAGGACCCUGAAACAGACGACCUGGAACUUGGCCUACGUCAAGUUGAUUGUUGAUGCAAGGGACAGUGUACGUGAGGAGUGACUAUCUGAGCUGACCCUUGGAUGAAGCCAGAUCUCCAUUGACUAACACUUUCCCCAGUUCACCCACCCAUCCCUGGAUAACCAGACUCCAGACAACUGAAGCCUUCUUAGGCUUCAG